rnacentral:lncRNA from 1 species
UAUUGGGUUUAAAAGGUUUAAUGAUGGGAAAAUUAAUACAAUAUAAUGGGAAGUGAAAUGAGCAGAAUGUAAAUUCCUUUUAGGGGUUAGCAGAAGAUGGAGUUGUAUUGAAUAAGAGUCAUUGACUUCUUAAUGGAAAGUGGAAGAUGGAGUUAGAGCACUGCGUUCACUGAGCAUCUGGAUGCUUGGACCCAGGGGAUUUCAAGGGAUGCCUUGAUUUGGGAUGGCAAGCUAGGACACACAGACAGCACAGAACAAGGAGCAGACAGGAUAUUCACUUCCUGGUUGCGUCAUCUAGUCGGCAUCAGCUGUUCCCUGGCAAGACCAAAGCCAAGGGCAGGCGGUGGAGGGGGUUUGCUGCUGUACUCCACUUGUGUGACUCCCGGGCUUUCCUUUGGGAUCUCAUGCGGCUGCUCUUCACCUUGGCGUUCACCAUGAUACCGGAGCCAGCGUCCCUUGAAAUGAUGUUCAGCUUCAUGAAUGGCUGACUCAGUGUCCCCUUGGAUCACUUUAAGUAAAAUUGUAUUUUCUUUGUUGUUAUCAAAACUCCAGUUUUGUUCAGGUAUCUGCCCCCCUGCAGACCCAGCCCCAGCUCAGGAGGUGGGAGGUGGUCAGGGUAAGUGCAUCAGAGCGUGGUCUUCCCUGGUAGCCGUUAUUGGUCUAGGGGUAAGCACGUGACCUAAAUGGAGGCGGCAGGGGAAGUCCGCGAUGCACGUGUGACCAUGCGGGGGACUAGCCUGAGGAUGAAACUAAGGCACACUGAUACCAGUGGGGAAGCCAGGAGGAAUGACAAACUUGAAGUCAUGGAAUUGGAUUGCAGCCCUGAUUUACCACCAACUACACAUGACCUUGAGAAAUCUCUUAACAUCUCUGAGCCUCUGGUGAGAAGAAAGCUGGCAGGCCAAGC